rnacentral:rRNA from 1 species
CCUUUUCAGGAAGGAGCAGGCGCGCAAUUACCCAAUCCUGACUCAGGGAGGUAGUGACAAGAAAUAACAAUAAACCGGCUUAUGCCGGUUUAAUUGGAAUGAGUACAAUUUAAACAUCUUAACGAGGAACAAUUGGAGGGCAAGUCUGGUGCCAGCAGCCGCGGUAAUUCCAGCUCCAAUAGCGUAUACUAAAGUUGUUGCAGUUAAAAAGCUCGUAGUUGGAUUUCUGUGGGGACGGAGCGGCCGGCCGCAACAUGCGGUUCGAGCUAGCGCUUUCCCUACAUCCUGCCGCGAACCGUGCUACCAUUAGUUUGGUGGCGCCGGGGAUCGGCUCGAUUACUUUGAGAAAAAUAGAGUGUUCAAAGCAGGCCACAUGCCUUGAAUAAGUUAGCAUGGAAUAAUAACUAAGGACUUCGGUUCUAUUUUGUUGGUGUUCGGGACUGAAGUAAUGAUUGAUAGGGACAGUUGGGGCGGUCUGUAUUCCAAAGCGAGAGGUGAAAUUCUUAGACCUUCGGAAGACAAACAGCUGCGAAAGCGUUCCGCAAGGAUGUUCCCUUUGAUCAAGAACGAAAGUUGGGGGAUCGAAGACGAUCAGAUACCGUCGUAGUCUCAACUAUAAACUAUACCAGCUAGGGAUCGGCCAACGUUAUUUCAUACCGACUUGGUCGGCACCUUAUGAGAAAUCAAAGCAUCUGGGUUCCGGGGGGAGUAUGGUCGCAAGGCUGAAACUUAAAGGAAUUGACGGAAGGGCACCACCAGCCGUGGAGCCUGCGGCUUAAUUUGACUCAACACGGGAAAACUUACCAGGUCCAGACAUAGUAAGGAUUGACAGAUUGAUAGCUCUUUCUUGAUUCUGUGGGUGGUGGUGCAUGGCCGUUCUUAGUUGGUGGAGUGAUUUGUCUGGUUAAUUCCGUUAACGAACGAGACCCCAGCCUGCUAAAUAGCGCGCGUGAGCUUUGCUCGCGGCGAGCUUCUUAGAGGGACUAUGAUGCGCGAUAGCACAUGGAAGUUUGGGGCAAUAACAGGUCUGUGAUGCCCUUAGAUGUUCUGGGCCGCACACGGGCUACACUGGCGCCUGCAACGAGCAUAUCAGCUGGUCCGAGAGGAUCUUGGCUAAUCUUUUGAACCGGCGCCGUGCUUGGGAUUGACCUUUGCAAUUGUUGGUCAUGCAACGAGGAAUGCCUUGUAAACGCGAGUCAUCAGCUCGCAUUGAAUACGUCCCUGCCCUUUGUACACACCGCCCGUCGCUCCUACCGAUGAAUGUUCCGAUGAAAUUUUCGGAGAGUGCCUGUGAGCUUGGCUCUGCCUUGCGAACGGGAAGCUCAAAGUCACUUAAAUCGAACAUUUAAAG